UAACGAAGAAAACAUAACGAAAAUGCAUAAGAACUAGCUAACUAAGGCGCAUAAAUAUGCUCCUAUCAGGCUCGGUGUAGAAAAUAAAUAUAUAGGCACUUAAAAACCCUAACAAAUCAGAUUAGGGUUUCUAGAAACCCAAAUCCACCAGAAAAAUAAGUUAAACAAUCAGAAAUUUGGUGAGAAAAAGGGCCUAGGGUGCGGCAAGGAGUGGGCUAGGGUUAGGGCUUCUAGAAAGCCUUGCAAGGCAAGGAAAUUGGUGUUCUAGAAUGGGAGAGGUGCGGCCCAAACCCUAGGGGAGAUGGAUUAGGCUUUAACAUGGCAGAAAUUAAAUGAAAGGGGCCUAGGGUGCGGCAUAGGCUUAGGGUCCACAAGGAAUUAGGGUUUAGGUCAUCUCAAAGCUCAAAGCCAAGAAUAGAAACUCACGAAAAUGGAAACCGCCAAGAAUAGGAACUUCAACCUUUAGAAACUUUGGUUGCCAAUUCCGACUUCUUUGUUCUUCACUUUUAUUUCUUCACUUCUUAAGCUCCUUUGACCUUCAAACUCGUCCAUUCCUCGUGCUCCAUUAGCAUACACAACAUUCCGGCUCAAUUUUGCUCCAAAAAGCUCCAAAUUGCAUCAUUUCAUGUAAUAUGUCCUUUAAACCUGAAAACACAUGAAAGUAGCUUAAAAGACUACUUUAACGAAGAGAACAUAACGAAAAUGCAUAAAAACUAGCUAACUAAGGCGCAUAAAUAUGCUCCUAUCAAUGAGCAUAUGGUGUCACUGGUUCUCGCAUCUAAGUAGUAGCAUUCCAUUCAUGAGAUCAUAUCUAAACAUGCGUCUUAACUCUAGAAAUUGCGUUCUUUGUGAAACAUAUAUGUGAGCAUUCGUUUUCAUAAUCUACAUCAAUUUCUCACAUAUGAUAGUGUAGGGUGUGGAGUUAGAAAAUCUGAGUGAAAAUAGAGUGUAUAUCUUGUAAGGAAUUGAGGGAAUUUUCUAAGGCAUGUUACUACAUUCAAAGCAUUGUUUUAAUCGAUUACGUGUGAAUUAGUAAGUAGUGGCUUUAAUUAAGUAUGUGCUUGUGUAAAGAUGACUCAAAUCUGUGGGGAUGACAAUCUUUAACAUGUCAUGUGCAUUGGAAAUCCCUGAGGCAAACGUUGGAAGGUUUAGGUUUUGUUUUGGUUAGUUUGUUUCGUUUUGUUUUCUUUCUUUUGUUUGUUUUGCUCGAGGACUAGCAAAAGCUAAGUGUGGGGGAAUUUGAUAGGAGCAUAUUUAUGCGCCUUAGUUAGCUAGUUCUUAUGCAUUUUCGUUAUGUUUUCUUUGUUAAAGUAGUCUUUUAAGCUACUUUCAUGUGUUUUCAGGUUUAAAGGAUAUAUUACAUGAAAUGAUGCAAUUUGGAGCUUUUGGAGCAAAAAAGUGAGCUUGGAUUGAAAAGGACAUGCUUGGAACACAAGGUUGGGAUGAAAUUGAAGAGUUGAAGAUUUGAGGUUUCCUACUUGAAGUAGGAAAGCUAAGCCUAAAAGUUUCCAUUUUGGGUUGAUCUUUUCCUAAACCGGAAUGGCCUUGCGUUUGAGCAACAUUAGAAGGUUCCGAAGCGUUGGAAGACACAAAGAAAGGUGUUAGAAUAUUUUUCUCAUCCUUGCCGUGGGUUAGGGCUUAAUUUCUCUUGGUUUUGGGCUUUUUAGAAGCCCUAUCCACAUUCCCACUAACCAGCCGCACCUUUCCCCUUCUAGAACACAUAUUUCCUUGCCUUGCAAGGCUUUCUAGAAGCCCUAACCCUAGCCCACUUAAUUGCCGCACCCUAGGCCCUUUUCUCACCAAAUUUCUGAUUGUUUAACCUAUUUUUCUGGUGGAUUUGGGUUUCUAGAAACCCUAAUCUGAUUUGUUAGGGUUUUUAAGUGCCUAUAUAUAUAUUUCUACACCUAGCCGCACAUAUGAUCUCUACACACAAUUCAGAAAUUCAUCCAACCCUAUUUCCCCACCUUGCCGCAGCCACCAUCAUCCUUAUACCCUUAGCCGCCACUCCUCCAUCCAUUCCAGCCAUUUCCCACACCUUGCCGCAACCCUUCUCCACAACCAUACACCAUUCUACACCUCCAUACACCAUCCAUACUCCUUGCCGCACCACCAUACUAUCCUAACUCCCUUCCAAACCCAAAAUCACAUCCAAAAAUACCCUAAACCUUCUCUGCCGCAGCAAGGAGAAGAAGAAAGAGGAGCUUGACGUCAGAAAUUCAAAGUGGAAUUGUUGGGGCGUUUUAGGUGUAAUCUUUCUUAUGUCUUCGAUGUUUCAAUUCAAUAAACUUUGUGUUGUGAGUAUGAGAAACUAAACCCCCCUAGUUGGGGGGUAAUUCGAAACCAUGUACAUGCUUGCAAUAUGAUUUGAUUACAUUCAGUUGUUAUUUCAUAAGUUGUGGAUUCAAUUCGUUCAUCUAUUUGAUUGAUAAUUUAAUUGUGUAUGUUGAUUGAGAGUGCACGCUUAGUUUUCAUGCAUGAAUAUGAUGCUAGAUUAUGAGGGAGUUUCACCUAAUAGUUACAAUCUUAUAAUCACAAGUAGUGAAGGUCGCUUGAAAACGAUCGCGUUGAAUGAAUUCUUAGCAUAAGUUUCAUGCAAUUCAUAGUAAACAAAUGCUUCGUCAAUGCUUAUGUUUUUCAUAGAACGUAAUGAUUCGUGCUUGUAUCUCUAUUAUGCAAUUCAUGUAGGGAACUUGUAGGGAAUGUUUUGGGUUGUCGUAUGCAAUCAUCCAACCUAAUAACUUGUGGAAAAACUGAGGGUUAAUUAGUGCAAUUCACGGUUAAUUUGGGGCGUUGAGUAUUAAUAAUUUAUUGGAAGAACAACUGAAAAUCGUUUCGUUUGCAAGUGUGACAUGUGUGGAGAAGAACCUCCUAACUAGCCUUUUAUCCAUCCUUUUCAUCCAAAAACGUUUUUACAAUCUGUUUAGUUUUUAAGUUUCUGUUUUGUUUUCAAUUUUCGUCCAAAACAAAUCCCCCUUUAUUUUGAAGUCUUAGAUUAGUUAGAAAGUGUUUUGAUUUGUGUUUCUAAGUGUUUUGAUUCAAGUUUUCACCCAAUUUCGUCCAAGUUCUUGUUAGGUUCUCAAACUGCCCAGAAAGUGGUUUUUAGGCAGUUUUGAGUCAUUAGGUUGCUGUUUUGAGUUUUAGGUUUGUUUAAGUGUUUUAACCUUUAGUGUUGCAUUCUUUGAGUCUAGUUUAGUGUUUUAAAUUUUGUUUUUGAGUUUUUAAGUCAGUUUUCAAGUGUUUAGCAAUCCCUCCUAAUCCCCGGUCUAGAACGAUCCCUACUUACAUAUUUACUACAAUUUGACAAAAAGAGGGUUUAAUUUGUGUGCUUAAUAUGUAUGAAUUCACAUGCAAUCAUAAAGAAAAAAUCAGUUUUUGUAACAUGCUUGAAGGAAGGAACUCAAAUUAACGCUACAACCUUGUGAGACAUGAGCCUAAAUGCUUAUUUGGAGAGUUAAUAAUCUGUGCAUCAUUGUUUUCUAAAGUCGUUGCAUGAUCUCAUUAUUCUUUGCUUGGUUGCUACUUAGAAGGUGUUUUAUCAUUUAGUUCCAAAUGCUAGAACUCAUGCCUAUUUCAUUCAAAGCCUAUCCUGUGCAUUUGUGUUUAAGUUUAACCUCGCUGAGCCUUGAGUAGCCUAUGUUCUUUGUUAACCCACACUAUUCUCACCUAGCCUAGAUUAGGACCAUCCAUACCAUUGUUCUUGAAGCAUAAGUAAAGCAUAAUUUAGAAGGAAUUCCUUUUGUUGAACUUUUGCAGAAAACCAAGUGUGGGGGAAGUGAUUCUUAUGUGUGUGUGUGUGCGCCAAAGCCCUUAAUAAGGCACGGGUAGAAAAGAAAAGAAAAAGAAAAAUUCGGGGAAAAUAGAAAGAAAAAAAAAAGUUGUGAAAAGAGUGAAAAAGAAUUGAACAGAGCAUGAAAAAGAGCUCUAAAGUGUUGCAUGAAUCUUCCCGUUGUAUUUAAAAGUUGAUUCUGGAUUCUAAAGUGAAUUCCAAGUGUCGAUUUCAUUGCUUUGCUUGCUAUUGCUUCAAGAACGUUUGUUAUCCCUAUCCUCUCUUUGUUAGCCAUUACUCCCAAGCCCCGUUACAACCCUUGACUUCAAUCUUGAGUGUUGUGGGUUUCAAUUUGUGGAAUUUGAAAUUGGUACGAGCAUAUGGUGUCACUGGUUCUCGCAUCUAAAUAGUAGCAUUCCAUUCAUGAGAUCAUAUGUAAACAUCCUUAUUACUCCAGAAAUUGCUUUCUUUGUUAUAACAUAUGUGAGUACUAGUCUUUCAUGUUUACAUCAAUCUUCUCACACAUAACUAGUGUAGGGUGUGUAGUCAGAAAAUGUGUGUGAAAAUAGAGAGUAUCUUGUAAGGAAUUGAGUACAUUCUCUAAGGCAUGUUACUACAUUCAAACAUUGUUUUAAUUGGUUAAUUGUGAACUAGUAAGUGGUGACUGUAAUUAAGUAUGUGCUCAAGCGUAAAGAUAAACAAAAUAUGUGGAAAUGAUGAUUUUUAACAUGUCAUGUGCAUUGGAAAUCCCUGAGGCAAAUGUUGGAAGGUUAGGUUGUGUUUUGUUUGUUUUGUUUCGUUUCGUUUUGUUUCUAAGGACAAAGUAUGCAAGAAGGUGCAUUUUGGAGCCUUUUGGAGCAAAAUUGGGCUUGGAAUGGUUAUCACAUUCUUGGAGCAAGGGACAUGGACAAAAUUGAAGACCUAAAGAUGCUAGGAUUCCUAAUUAAAGAUGGAUUCUGAUAGGAGCAUAUUUAUGCGCCUUAGUUUAGCUUGUUCUUGUGCAUUUAUAGUGUUUUUCCUUAGUAAAGUAGUCUUUUAAGCUAGUUUUAUGUGUUUUCAGGUUUUAAGGGCAAAGUAUGCAAAAGGAUGCAUUUUGGAGCCUUUUGGAGCACAUUUGAGCUUGGAAUGGAUGUCAUAUGCUUGGAGCCAAGAGGAUGGACGAAAUUGAAGAUUUGAAGAUGAUGUUUCCUACUUUAACAAAGUUUCCUAGUUGAAGUAGGAAGUCCCUAAGUGAAGAUGGAAUCCUAGUUGAAUUAGGAUUCCUAGUCAAAAUGGGUUUCCUAGUUGCAUUAGGAUUCCUUGAAGAUGAAAAUUCUUACUCAAACAAGGUUUCCUACUUGAUGUAGGAAAGUCAAAAUCCAAAUGGUCUCAAGUGAAGCAACAAAGAAGUUUUCCAAGUCCAAGAAGUUAAAGGAGUCCAAGAUGAAGAAGAAAUGACAAAGACAAGGUUUCCUAAUCCUAAUAGGCAAAGUUUCCAAGUGCAAUGAGGAAUCCUUAUCCAUUUAGGGCACCUUAUGCAUUUAGGAUACCUUAUCCUUGUUCUAGAAACCUUAUCCAUUCUUGCCGUGAGUUUUCCUUGCAUUAGAGGGUUUCUAGAAGCCCUAAUCUGCCCUAUCCUUUAGUGCCGCACCUAUCCCUUCUAGAAAGCUGAUUUCCCUUGCCUUGCAAGGCAUUCUAGAAGCCUUAUCACCUCAUCUCCUUACCUGCCGCACCUAGGACGCAUUAUCCCUUUUUAUUUCAGAUUUCUAAGCCUUUUUCCUUGGGGAUUUGGGUUCUAGAAAGCCUAAUCUGAUUCACCUAGGGUUUUGGGGUCCUAUAAAUAUGUGUGCCGCACCCAUUCAUUAAAACGACCUCUCAUACACAUUCAUUCAUUCCACAAAUUCAGAAACUCUCUCCACACCCUUGCCGCACCAUUCCCUUCCCCUAAACACUACUACAUCCCUCCAUAACCAUGCAUCCAUACCCCUAAGGCCCUAAACCUGUCCCUAGACCCUUGCCGCACCAAGGAGGAGGAGAAGGAAGCUCGGAAGUUCAUGCAAUUCAAGUUCGCGUCGCUGGAAUUUCUAGGUGUUUCUUUUCCUUUGAUUUCAAUGUUUAAAUUCAAUUCUCUUUGUUUUGUGCGUAUGAGGAACUAAACCCCCCCUUGGCUAGGGGGGGAUUCGAAAUACAUGUUUAUGCUUGCAAUAUGAUUUGAUUACUUCUAAUUGCGUUUCAUAAGUUGUGAAUUCAAUUUACUUAUCUAUGUGAAUUACAUUGAUUUGUGUGUGUUGGUUGAGAGUGCACGCUUAAUUAUCAUGCAUAGAUUGAAUGCUAGGAUAUAAGGAAAUUUCACCUAAUCGUUAUGGACUUAUAUUCACAAGUAGUAAAAGUUGAUGAUCUCAAUCGCGUUGAGUAAAUUCUUGGCAUAAGUUUCAUGCAAUCAUAGUAACAAGUGCUUCGUCAAUGCUGUUGGUUUUCAUAGAACUUAAUGAUUCUUGCUUGUAUCUCUAUUAUGCAAUCAUGUAGGGGACUUGUGGGGAAUGUUUUGGGUUGUCGUAUGCAAUCAUCCAAAUCGAUAACGUUAGGAAAAUCUGAAGGUUAAUUUAAGCGGACCUAAUUAACUUGGGGCGUUGAGAAUUCAUGGUUUAGUGAAAAGCAAUUGGAAAUCGUUUUGAAUGCAAGUAUAACAUGUGUGGAGAUGAACCCCUUAGCUAGCCUUCCAUCCAUUCAUUUAAAUCAAAUUCGUUUUUAAAAUCUGUCUAGUUUACAAAGUUUGUUUUGUUUUCAAAUUCGUCCAAAAUCAAUCCCCCUUUUCUUUGUUGAGUCAUAUUAGUUAGAAGUCAAGUUAGUUUGUGUUUAAGUGUUUUGAGUCAAGUUAAAACCUAAUUUCGUCCAAGUUUGUGUCUAGUGUUCAAAACUGCCCAGAUUGUGUUUUUAAGGCAGUUUUGAGUGUUUUGGUGCUGUUUUGAGUCUUUAGGUUUGUUUUAGUGUUUUAAAUUUUAGUUUUGCAUUCUUUGAGUCUAGUUUAGUGUUUUAAACUUGUUUUUACGUAUUUGAGUCAGUUUUCAAGUGAUUUUGCAAUCCCUCCUAAUCCCCGGCCUAGAACGAUCCCUACUUACAUACUUACUACAAUUGAUAAAAAGAGGGUUAAUUUGAGUGCUAGUUAAUUUUCACAUCAGAUUCCUAGAAGAAUGAGGACUCCUACUCACAUGAGGAUUCCUAAUUGAAGUAGGAAAGUUAAGCCAAGGUUUCCUAUUUUGGUUUGACUUUUCCUCAUCCUAAAUGUCUCUGAAUUCCAGCAACAUUGAAGGCCUCCUAAGCAUUCUAGGACACAAAAUAUACCUUCCUUGAACAAUCAAAGGCCAUGUCGCACCCUCUUGACCCCUGUACUCUUCCUUGCCGUGCAAGGGAGAGUGUUCUUUCCUAUUUCCUUGCAUUAAAACACAUUCCAAUUGUAUUUUAUUUCCUUGCCGUAUAUCUUAGCCUAUUUCCCUUAGUUUUAUGAUUUUAUUUCCUUUUUCUAGAAGCUUUUGACUUAAUUUCUGUUAACCAAAAUAAGUUAGGGUUUUAAUUCCUGAAACCUUAAAUAGACUUCCUUUUUGUAGCCCAAAGGAUCCAUUCAUUCACCCAUUCAUGCCAGAAAUCAUCAUACACUCUCGGCCGCAUCCAUCCUUCACCAUUCUCCAUAGUUUCUGACCUAAUUCAACCCUUGCCUCACCAUACAUCUAUCCUAACCAUAAACCCAUCCUUCUACACCAUCCAUAACCCCCAAAACUCACCAACAAACCUUGUGCCGCAACAAGAAGGAAGGAAGACAGCCCUUGGACGUGCUUGCCAUUCGAGAUAGGAUUGCUGGAACGUUUUAGGUGUAAUCUUUCUUUUGUUUCCAAAUGUUUCAAUUCAAUAAUUCUUGUUUUAUGAGUAUGAGGAACUAAACCCCUCUUAGCUAGGGGGGAAUUCGAAACCAUGUUCACACUUGCAAUAUGAUUUGAUUAUAUCCAGUUGUGAUUCAUAAGUUGUGAAUUCUAUUUGCUUAUCCGUUUGAAUUAAAACUGAUUUGUGUGUGUGGGUUGAAAGUGCACGGUUAAUUUUCAUGCAUAAAUCUGAUACUAGGAUAUAAGAGAGUUUCACCUAAUUGUUAUGAACUUAUAAUCACAAGUAGUGAAGGUUGUUUGUCACAAUCACGUUAAGUAAAUUCUUGGCAUAAGUUUCAUGCAAUUCAUAGUUACAAGUGCCUCGUCAACGCUUAUGAUUCUCAUAGAACUUAAUGAUCUUUGCUCGUAUCUUUAUUAUGCAAUUCAUGUAGAGAACUUGUGAAGAAUGCUUUGGGUUGUUGUAUGCAAUCAUCCAAUUCAAUGAAAUUAGGAAAAUCUGAGGGUUAAGUAGGUGCAAUUCACAUUUGAUCUGGGGCUUUGGGAAUUCAUGGGUAUUGAAGAGCAACUGGAAAUCAAUUUGUUUGCAAGUGUGUCAAGAGUGGAGAAGAACCUCCUAGCUAGCCUAUCAUCCAUAGUUUUACCCCAAAUUUGUCCAAAUUUUGCUUAGCGUAUAAUCUGUUUAUUGUGUUUUCAAAUUCACCAAAACCAAAACCCCCAUUUACUGUAGAGUGUCUAAUUAGUUAGAAUCUGUUUACUUUGUGUUUUUACUGGAGAUGGAAAAAAUUGAAGACCUAAAGAUGCUAGGAUUCCUAAUUGAAGAUGAAUUCCUAGAAGAAUGAGGAUUCCUACUCACACAAGGAUUCCUACAAGAAGAAGGAAUGUUAAGCCAAGGUUUCCCUACUUUGGUUUUAACCUUUCCUAUUCCUAAAAUUCCUUAAGUUCGAGCAACAAGAAUGAUUCCUAAAUAUUUUAGGAUACUUAAGUAUCUGAUUCUCCCAUUCAAACAAGGGAGCCGCACCAAUUCUUUCUAGAAAGUCAAAGUCCUUGCUGUGUACCCUCUUUCCCUUUCUCCCUUGCUUUGCCGCACCCCACAUUUCUUUUCCUUUUGGAUUCUGACCUUAAUUACUCCUUUUCCUUGUGGAUUUGGGCUGAAAUUAUGUUUCCCACAAUUAAUUAGGGUUAGGACUUUCUCAUCCCUAUAAAUAAAACACUUUCUGCCGUAAGACCAUCUAUCCACCCUUCACCAUAAAUCAGCCAUUCCAUCCACCUAUCUACCUAUCCAUCCUCUAUCACCCAUCACCACAGAUUCUCUACACAUCCCUAACACUCUCUACACAACCUGCCGCAACCCUUAAACUAUCCAUUCACCACUCACAUCAUUCAAUUGCUGCUGUUUAAUUGCAAGUAUGUGGAACUAAACCCUUUUGGCUAGGGGGAAUUUCAAAGCCAUGAAUACAUUUACAAUAUGAAUUGAUUACUUCCAGUUGUGAUUCUAUGAAUCGUGAAUGCAAUUUACUUAACUGUUUGAUUGAUAUCUUAUUCUUGUUUGUUGAUUAAGGGUGCACACUUAGUGCUUAGUGAUGUGAAAAUUAACUUGACACACAAAUUUGACCCUAUGGAUGACAAUUGUAGUAUAUGAGCAAAUAGGGAUCGUUCUAAACCGGGGAUUAACUAGGGCUGCUAAUCUACUCAAAUUAAACUUUAAAACACUAAACUAGACUUAAAAACACAAGAAUAGACUCUAUAGACUCUAAUCUGACCUAAGACACUCAAAUCUGCAAAACUUAGUGAAAUUGACUCAAUUCUAAACCUAACAAGUGAUUUAGACGAAAUUACUCUUACUUUGACUCAAAAGAUUAAAAGAAAACAGAUUGUAACUUAACUAACUCAGAAAACACUUAAAAGACUCAAAACAGCACACUACUAACAAUUAGACUCAAAACAGAUUCUAGAGAUGAAAUUGGACGAAUUUAAGACUAAACUAAGACUCAAACAAUGUUUAUGGACUAAACCUAACCUAUUUUGACUCAAAACACUCUAAAGAACCUACUUAGGACAGAUUCUGACCUAAUAACAUAAAACAGAAAAGGGUGUUUGAUUUGUUGACGAAAUUGAAUUAAAACUAAACAAAUUGCAAAUCAAGCAAACUAAAACGAAAUUGAGAUGAAUUCAAGGGUGAAAAACUAGUUAGAGGAUCCUUAUCCACACAUGAACAUAUGCAUAUAAUUUGAUUCCCAGUUAUGACUUCAACAAACGAUGAAUGACAAUGCUCCAAGUUAAUUAGGUCCGCUUAAAUUAACUUUCCGAUUUCCCUAGAUUCAUUGGAUUGAAUGGAAUACGCAUUACAACCAAAUUAUUCCUCAUCAAAGUCCCCAACUAUGGAAUACGCAUGAUAGAGACAUUCAACAAAGAUCAUUAAGUUCAACGGAAAUCAUAAACAUCGACUAGGCAUUCAUAACUAUGGAAUACGCAUGUUAAUCCAGCCUAGGGUUUACUUAACACAAUCGUGACUAACGACUUUUACUACUUAUGAAUAUAAGUUAAUAACGAUUAGGUGAAAUUCCCUUAUAUCCUAGCAUCAAGUUUAGGCAUGCAAAUUAAGUGUCGACCCUCAACCCACAUACAUAAGCAUGUUAUCAAUCAAAACAGAAAAGUAAACCACAUCUAAAGUUCAUGAAUUCAUAACUAGAGUAAAUCAAAUCAUAACCAACAUAUGUCCAUGGCUUCAAAUUCGCCUCUAACUAAAAAGAAAUUAGUUCCACAUGUUUAACAUAAUUGAACAGCAAGUUAAAUUAAACAUGAAAACAAUAACAAGAGAAGAAAGAACUCCAAACACUCCACUAGUUGCAGAUUGCAUGUGCAAGGUCUCUUCCUUCCUUUGGUUUGCACGGCACUACUCCUCUCCUCCUUCAAUGGUGGCUGCACAAGGUGGUUAUGGUGAUAGAAGGUUGUGGCAAAGGUUGAAUUUGGGCAGAAAGUUGGGAGUUUGGUGGUGGAAGGCUGCUGCAAAGUCUUGGUAUGAAUUUCUGGCGUGAAUGGUUGAUAUGGGAGGUGGUGCCCGGCCAAAGGAUGUAAAAACACAUAUAUAUAGGCACCACAAACCCUAAAGAAAUCAGGUUAGACAAUGGGCUAGGGUUUAGGUGCGGCUAGGGUUGAAAAUCCACAAGGAAUUAGGUUAAACAAUCAGAUUUUUGCAUGGGAAAAGGCCUAGGGUGCGGCUGCUUAAGUGGGCUAGGGUUAGGGCUUCUAGAAUGCAUUGCAAGGCAAGGAAAUAGGUGUUCUAGAAGGGGAAAGGUGCGGCUGAUUAGUGGCUAGGGUUAGGGUUUGUAGAUAGGGCUUGUAGAAAGCCCAAAACCAAGAAGAAAUAAGCCCAACCCACGGCAAGGAUGAGAAAAUGUUCUAGAACCACUCUUCUCUUCGUGUCUUUCAACGCUUAGGAACCUUCUAAUGUUGCUAAAACGCAAGGCCAUUUAGGUUUAGGAAAGAUCAACCCAAAAUGGAAACUUUUAGGCUUAGCUUUCCUACUUCAAGUAGGAAACCUCGUUUGAGUAGGAAUCUUCGUUCUUCUCGGAAUCCAUCUUCAACUAGGAAUCCCUCGUUGAUUAGGAAUCCUUCUUCAGUUAGGACUCCUCCUCGGACUAGGAAUCCUUCUUGUACUAGGAAUCCUCAAAUCUUCAAAUCUUCAAUUUCAUCCCAACCUUGUGUUCCAAGCAUGUACUUUUCAAUCCAAGCUCACUUUUUGCUCCAAAAAGCUCCAAAUUGCAUCAUUUCAUGUAAUAUGUCCUUUAAACCUGAAAACACAUGAAAGUAGCUUAAAAGACUACUUUAACGAAGAAAACAUAACGAAAAUGCAUAAGAACUAGCUAACUAAGGCGCAUAAAUAUGCUCCUAUCACUUAGUUUGCAUGCAAGGAUUUGGUGCUAGAAUAUAAGGGAGUUUCACAUAAUCGUUAUGAACUUAUAUUCAUAAGUAGUGAAGGUUGCUAGUCACAAUCGCGUUAAGUAGAUUCGUAGCAGGAGUAUCAUGCUCAUCAUAGUUACGAAUACUUUGUCAAUAUUUAUAAUUUUCAUAAAACUUAAUGAUCUUUGAUUGUAUCUCUAUUAUGCGCUUUCAUGGAGGGAACUUUUGAAGAAUGCUUUGGGUUGUCGAAUGAUGUCAUCCAAUCCAAUAACUAAAGGAAAAUAUGAGGGUUAAUUUAAGCAUACCUAUUUAAUCUGGGGUGUUGAGAUUCAUGGUUUAUUGGAAAAGCAACUGGAGAUCGAUUUGUAUGCAAGUGUGUCAUGUGUGGAGGAGAACCCUCUAGCUAGCCAAUUAUCCAUCCAAUUUACCCAAUUUCGUCCAAAAUCUGUCUUAAGUUUUUAGUUACUUGGUUUUACUUUAUUUUCGUCCAAAACCAAUUCCCCUUUACUUUGUUGAGUUAAAUUAGUAGAAUCUGUUUUAGUUUGUGUUUUUAAGUGUUUUGAGUCAUGGUGUUUUAAGAUGUUUUGAGUCUUUUAAGUUUGUUUUGAGUCAUUAGAGGCUAGUUAAGCAUUUUUAGUUUGUUUUUGUGUCUUUGAGUCAGUUUAGCGUGUUUUAGCAAUCCCUCCUAAUCCCCGGUUCAAGAACGAUCCCUACUUACAUAUAUAUUACAAUUGUCAAAAGAGGGUUUAAUUUGUGUGUUAAGUUAAUUUUCGCAUCAAAUUUUGCCGCCAUUGCCGUGGUUUAGCAACUUUGCUAAUCCCCCGUUGUUUCCCUUUUUCUUUUCGUGUCUUUUAUUUUUAUUUCUGAUUUUGUUUUGCUUUGUUUUCUUUGAUUUCAGGUACUAGACAUGGAUUUUGCUAAUGUUCAAGCUCAAUUGGCAAAUCGUACUUCUCAGUUCUCGCAGUAUGCCCACAAUGCAAAGUGUCCUUACAUUUGGUCUGUCUUAUUGGCAAGGAUAUGAAGCCAAUCAAUAUCCAUAAAGAGAAUGGAGUGAUCAUUCAAACUCUAUGUGGUGGGAAGCUCAACAAGUUCAACACGAAGGAUAUUGGCAGCCAUAUGCGGAGUUCUAUUCAAGACCUAUGCAGCCAUUUCAACCUCAUAUACAAUAUGCUCAAUCAAACUCAGGUUCGUCAAUAGAUUAUAAUCAAAUUUUUGAUGAAUUAAUUUCUUUGGUGCAGGGCUCACAAAAUCAAGCCAAGGAGGCUCAACAAGGAGAACAUUGGCAGCCAUAUGAGGAGUUCUAUACAACACCUAAGCAGCCACCACAGCCUGCCUCGGAACAAUUCCAACCAAAUUCAGGUUUAUCUUUAGAUUAUGAUCAAAUUCUUCAAGAACUAACUUCUUUGACGCAGGGAUCCAAGGAGUGGGUGAGUACUAUCAACAACAUUAACAACAAGAAGCAUAUUGGCAGCCAUAUGAAGAGUUGUAUCAAAGGCCAUACACACCACCACAAUCUGCCCAAUCAAAUUCAGGUUCAUUUUUGGAUUAUGAUCAAGCUAUUAAAUUACUAACGUCUUUGAUGCAUAAAUUACAAAAUCAAGACAAGAAGUUGGGUGAAUUGAAAUAUCAAAUAGGAGAGAUCAUAGAAUUCAUAGGGCAGAUUCAAAAACAAAGUAAACUCUCCAACUCAACUGUUGAAAAUUUAGCGGAGGAUUUUGAAAUCGAACAAGAUAUCACUUUGGGAAGUGGCGUGGAGGUUGGAGAUGAACUCAAGAUGUCCAAAACAAACCAAAACAUGGAUGAACAAUUGCUGCUUGAAGAAGAAGAGGAUGACAAGGCCACGGCAAGGGAAAACCCACCUUUGCUGCAACUUACCCUUGCUCCACCACCCUUGCCGCAGCCCUCUAAGGCUCCUACACCAUCCAACACAGGUAGUUAGGUCCAAUUUUUGUUAAUUAUAACCCUAAUCCACCCAAGGUACCUUUCUUUCACAGAUUCAUGCAAUCCAAGGGAGAAAAGGGUGAGGAAGGCAUCUUCGAAACCUUUCCAAAGAUUCAAGAGAAAGAAGUGGCUAGGGAAAAUGUAGAAUGCAUCAAAGAGGAUGUAUGUGAGACAACAAAGCCCAAAGAAGUUGAGUUUUAUGACACAGGACAAGUCGCAACCAUCACAUUAAAUCUGGCCAAGUCUAACAUUCCUGAAACUUUCAGAAGUGGUGUUUGUUCUUGAGUUCAUAUUGGAACACAUAGGUAAGCCACCUCCCCGAAUUUCAAUUUUGUUUUAUACUAAUAUGUUGUUAAUGAUUCAGGCAUCCACUCUAGAAUUUGAACCAAUGCCGGAUCAUUUCAAGUAUCAUCUUCCAUUCAAAGAUCAAUUCCAUGCCAUGGGACCUAGGGGAGUUUGAAUGGAAGCAUCGUCCGGCUGCAAGACGUUAAAGCAAUAACUUCUUGGGAGGCAACCCAUGCAUUUAACAAAGGAAUGAUGGAAUUCUCACUCCAAACUCAGAUUUGCGUUCCGAAACCCUUCUCUUUACUGUUUUAUUUUGAUUUGUUUGUUCGUUUGCUUUUGUGUAAGUUUUUGUUUUGAAACACUGAGGACAAUGUUUGAUUUAAGUGUGGGGGGGGGUAAACAAAGUGUUUUUAUUGAAAAUUCGUGGGUUUUUAUCACCUAUCACUUCUAGAGUUGUUUCUCACUAUUUUAAGUGUUUUUCGUGCAUUUUGAGCUGUUUAAGUGUGUUUUGAAAAGAAAAUUGGAAAAAUUGAAAAAAAAAAUUAGAAAAAGUUUUGAAAAACAAACCAAAAAUAGUCGUUGUUGUGUGUAUGUGUCUUAGGGUACCUUCCAACACAAUGAUGAGGAUUUGGUUUUUAAGUGCAUGACUGUUAAAGAAAGUUACAAACAUGGAUGGAAGUUUGAUAUGCUCUUUGGUUUAUGCUUGGUUGUAGUUAUAGUUUAUGAAUUCACAUGUAAUUGCAAAGGAUAAAAUCAGUUUUUGUAACAUGCUUGAAGGAAGGAACUCAAACAAACGCAUUUAUGAAUUCAUCCUUUGUCAUAUGUUUUGUAGGCUUAACCAUAGGAGCAUAUUUAUGCGCCUUAGUUUAGCUUGUUCUUGUGCAUUUAUAGUGUUUUUCCUUAGGAAAGUAGUCUUUUAAGCUAGUUUUAUGUGAUUUCAGGUUCUAAGGGCAAAAUAUGAAAAAGGAUGCAUUUUGGAGCCUUUUGGAGCAAUUUAGAGCUUGGAAUGGACAUCAUAUGCUUGGAGCCAAGAGGAUGGACGAAAUUGAAGAUUUGAAGAUGAUGUUUCCUACUUGGAAAAGGUUUCCUAGUCGAAGUAGGAAAGCGCCUAGGUGAAGAUGGAAUCCUAGUUGAAUUAGGAUUCCUAGUCAAAAUGGGUUUCCUAGUUGAAUUAGGAUUCCUUGAAGAUGAAGAUUCCUACUCAAACAAGGUUUCCUACUUGAUGUAGGAAAGUCAAAAUCCAAAUGGUCGCAAGUGAAGCAACGAAGAAGUUUUCCAAGUCCAAGAAGGAAAAGGAGUCCAAGAUGAAGAAGGAAUGACAAAGACAAGGUUUCCUAAUCCUAAUAGGCAAAGUUUCCAAGUGCAAUGAGGAAUCCUUAUCCAUUUAGGAUACUUCAUCCUUGUUCUAGAAACCUUAUCCAUCCUUGCCGUGAGUUUUCCUUGCAUUAGAGGGUUUCUAGAAGCCCUAAUCUGCCCUAUCCUUUAGUGCCGCACCUAUCCCUUCUAGAAAACUGAUUUCCUUGCCUUGCAAGGCCAUCUAGAAGCCUUAUCCCUCUAAUCCAUCCCUGCCGCACCUAGGAGGACCUUUCCUACCCAAAAUCUGAUUGUUUUAAGCCCUUUCCUGAUGGGAUUUAAUCCUCCAAGUCCUAAUCUGAUUUGCUAGACUUUUAGGACCCUAUAAAUACAUGGUGCCGCACCCAUUCAUUCACACCACCACCUCUCAUACACAUUCAUUCAUUCCACAAAUUCAGAAAUUCGUCCAAACACCUCUCCACCCCUUUGCCGCACCAUCCCCAUCCCCUAAACACUACUACAUCCAUCCAUAACCAUGCAUCCAUACACCUACGGUCCUAAACCUGUCCCUAGACCCUUGCCGCACCAAGGAGGAGGAGAAGGAAGCUCGGAAGUUCAUGCCAUUCAAGUUCGCGUCGCUGGAAUUUCUAGGUGUUUCUUUUCCUUUGAUUUCAAUGUUUAAAUUCAAUUCUCUUUGUUUUGUGCAUAUGAGGAACUAAACCCCCCCUUGGCUAGGGGGGGAUUCGAAAUACAUGUUUAUGCUUGCAAUAUGAUUUGAUUACUUCUAAUUGCGUUUCAUAAGUUGUGAAUUCAAUUUACUUAUCUAUGUGAAUUACAUUGAUUUGUGUGUGUUGGUUGAGAGUGCACGCUUAAUUAUCAUGCAUAGAUUAAAUGCUAGGAUAUAAGGAAAUUUCACCUAAUCGUUAUGGACUUAUAUUCACAAGUAGUAAAGGUUGAUGAUCUCAAUCGCGUUAAGUAAAUUCUUGGCAUAAGUUUCAUGCAAUCAUAGUAACAAGUGCUUCGUCAAUGCUUAUGGUUUUCAUAGAACUUAAUGAUUCUUGCUUGUAUCUCUAUUAUGCAAUCAUGUAGGGGACUUGUGGGGAAUGCUUUGGGUUGUCGUAUGCAAUCAUCCAAUUCGAUAACGUUAGGAAAAUCUGAAGGUUAAUUUAAGCGGACCUAAUUAACUUGGGGCGUUGAGAAUUCAUGGUUUAGUGAAAAGCAAUUGGAAAUCGUUUUGAAUGCAAGUAUAACAUGUGUGGAGAUGAACCCCUUAGCUAGCCUUCCAUCCAUUCCUUUAAACCAAAUUCGUUUUAAAAUCUGUUCGUUUUACAAAGUUUUGUUUUGUUUUCAAAUUCGUCCAAAAUCAAUCCCCCUUUUCUUUGUUGAGUCAUAUUAGUUAGAAGUCAAGUUAGUUAUGUUUUUAAGUGUUUGGAGUCAAGUUAAAACCUAAUUUCGUCCAAGUUUGUGUCUAGUGUUCAAAACUGCCCAGAUUGUGUUUUUAAGACAGUUUUGAGUGUUUAUUUGCUGUUUUGAGUCUUUUGGUUUGUUUUGGUAUUUUAAAGUUUAGUUUUGCAUUCUUUGAGUCUAGUUUAGUGUUUUAAACUUGUUUUUACGUAUUUGAGUCAGUUUUCAAGUGAUUUUGCAAUCUCUCCUAAUCCCGGGCCUAGAACGAUCCCUACUUACAUACUUACUACAAUUGAUAAAAAGAGGGUUAAUUUGUGUGUCAACAUAAUUUUCACAUCACCUUUGAGCCUUCGUUAGCCUAUUUUCUUUGUUAACCACAUUAUCUCUACCUAGCCUAGAUUAGGACUAUCCAUACCCUUGUUCUUAAAGAAUAGUGAAGCAUGACUUAGAGGGAAUUCCUUUUGAUUUUUGUAGAAAAACAAGUGUGGGGGAAGGAUUUCAAAGUGUAUGUUUUGUGUGCCAAAGAAAAGGGCACAGUUUAAAAAUAAUAAUAAUAAUAAUAAAUUCGUGGAAAAAGAAAAAGAAAAGAAAAAAGUGUGUGAAAAGAAUGAAAAACAAUUGAAAAUAAGUGAGAAUGAACUCACAUGUGAUGGUUGUUGAAGAAAGGGUCCAAAAGUUUGAAUUUGACCCUAAGUGUUGCAUGAAUCUUCCCUUGUGUUUAAAGUUGAUUUUUGUAUUCGAAAGUGAAUUCUAAGUGUCAAUUUCAUUACUUUGCUUGCUAUUUCUUUAAGAACUUUUGUUUAUCCCUUACCUUUCUUUGUUAGCCAAUGCCCUUAGCCCCGUUUCAAUCCUUGACUUCCAUCUUGCGUGUUGUGUGUUUCAAUAUGUGGAGUUUGGAAUUGGUAUGAGCAUAUGAUAUCACUGGUUCUCGCAUCUAAGUAGUAGCAUUCCGUUCAUGAGAUCAUACAUAUACAUGCAUUAAUAAUUCCAGAAAUUGCUUCUUUGUUGAAAAACAUAUGUGAGUACUAGUUUUCAUGUUUACAUCAAUCUUUACAUAUACCUAGUGUAGGGUGAGUAGUUAGAAAAUCUGAGUGAAAAUUCAAUGCAUAUCUAGUAAGGAAUUGAGAGAAUUCUCUAAGGCAUGUUACUACAUCCAAAAUGUUGUUUUAAUUGAUUAAAUAUGAGCUAGUGAAUGGUGACCAUGAUUAAGUAUGCUCGAGGGUAAGGAUUGCUUAAAUCUAUGUGAAGUGGUGAUCUUUGGCAUGUUAUGUUUCAUUGAAAAUCCCUGAGGCAAAUGUUGGAAGGUCUAGGUUAUGUUUUGUUUGUUUUGUUUUGCUCAAGGACUAGCAAAAGCUAAGUGUGGGGGAAUUUGAUAGGAGCAUAUUUAUGCAACUUAUUUCUUAGUUAAAUUAGUAUUUCAAGUCAUUUCCGUGUGUUUGUAGGACCAAAGGGCUAAAUUAUUAAGAAAGUGCAUUUUGGAGCAUUUUGGAGCAGUUUUGGGCAUGGAAUGAAUAUCAUAUGCUUGGAGCAAGGGAGAAGGACGAAAUUAAAGACCUAAAGAUGCUAGGAUUCCUAAUUGAAGAAGGAUUCCUAAUUGAAGAUGGAUUCCUAGAAGGAUGAGGAUUCCUACUCACACCAGGAUUCCUACAAGAAGAAGGAAUGUUAAGCCAUGGUUUCCUACUUUGGUUUUAACCCUUCCUAAUCCUAAAAUUCCCUAACUUCCAGCAACAAGAAUGAUUCCUAAAAAUUUUAGGACACUUAAGUAUCUGAUUCUCCCAUUCAAACAAGGGAGCCGCACCAAUUCUUUCUAGAAAGUCAAAGUCUUUGCCGUGUACCCUCUUUCCCUUUCUCCCUUGCUUUGCCGCACCCCACAUUCCUUUUCCUUUUGGAUUCUGACCUUAAUUACUCCUUUUCCUUGUGGAUUUGGGCUGAAAUUAUGUUUCCCAAAAUUAAUUAGGGUUAGGACUUUCUCAUCCCUAUAAAUAAAACACUUUCUGCCGCAAGACCAUCUAUCCACCCUUCACCAUAAAUCAGCCAUUCCAUCCACCUAUCUACCUAUCCGUCAACUAUCACCCAUCACCACAGAUUCUCUACACAACCCUAACCCUCUCUACAUAACCUGCCACAACCCUUAAACUAUCCAUUCACCACUCACACCCUUGUGCCACAUAUUUGCAAGGAAGGAGGAUUGCUUGGAGUGGUGCUAGCCAUUCAAUUUGGAUUGCUGGAGCAUUAUAGGUGUAUUCUACUUUGGUUUUCAAUGUUUAAUUUCAAUUGUUUCUGUUUAAUUGCAAGUAUGAGGAACUAAACCCUUUUGGCUAGGGGGAAUUUCAAAGCCCUGAAUAUAUUUGCAAUAUGAAUUGAUUACUUCCAGUUGUGAUUCUAUGAAUCGUGAAUGCAAUUUACUUAACUGUUUGAUUGAUAACUUAUUCUUGUUUGUUGAUUAAGGGUGCACACUUAGUUUGCAUGCAAGGAUUUGAUGCUAGAAUAUAAGGGAGUUUCAUAUAAUCGUUAUGAACUUAUAUUCAUAAGUAGUGAAGGUUGCUAGUCACAAUCGUGUUAAGUAGAUUCCUAGCAGGAGUAUCAUGCUCAUCAUAGUUACGAAUGCUUUGUCAAUACUUAUGACUUUCACAGAACUUAAUGAUCUUUGAUUGUAUCUCUAUUAUGCACUUUCAUGUAGGGAACUUUUGAAGAAUGCUUUGGGUUGUCGAAUGAUGUCAUCCAAUCCAAUAACUAAAGGAAAAUAUGAGGGUUAAUUUAAGCGUACCUAAUUAAUCUGGGGUGUUGAGAUUCAUGGUUUAUUGGAAAAGCAACUGGAGAUCGAUUUGUAUGCAAGUGUGUCAUGUGUGGAGAAGAACCCUUUAGCUAGCCAAUUAUCCAUCCAAUUUACCCAAUUUCGUCCAAAAUCUGUCUUAAGUUUUUAGUUACUUGGUUUUACUUUAUUUUCGUCCAAAAUCAAUUCUCCUUUACUUUGUUGAGUUAAAUUAGUUAGAAUCUGUUUUAGUUUGUGUUUUUAAGUGUUUUGAGUCAAGUUUCAAUCAACUUUCGUCCAAGUCAUUCCUAGUGUCUAGUUUGAGUCUAAUUAGUUGUUUUAAGCUAUUUUGAGUCUUUUAAGUUUGUUUGAGUCAUUAGAGUCUAGUUAAGUGUUUUUAGUUUGUUUUUGUGUCUUUGAGUCAGUUUAGAGUGUUUUAGCAAUCCCUCCUAAUCCCUAGUUUAAGAACGAUCCCUACUUACAUAUAUAUUGCCAUUGUUAAAGGAGGGUUUAAUUUGUGUGUUAAGUUAAUUUUCGCAUCAAUAAGGUUAGAUAAGAUAAGAUAAGACUUGAUAAGAUGAGAUGAUUUUGGAUAAGGUUGGAUAAGAUUGUGUAUUUCCUUGUCUUCCAAGCUUCAACUUUGAUUCCUCCAGAUCUUAGCACAUGUUAAACACCAAAAUCUUCCAACCGAUAUGCUCCCUACGCAUGCUAUCCAAUCCAAGUCCAAAACUACUCCAAAUUGCUCCAUUUUGGCUUUUAUUGUCAUCUUUCCUAAUUGGACCUACAAUAAUACGAAAAUAACAUAAAUUACCAAAAUAAAUGGAAAUUAACUAAGAUAAUGCAAAGAAAUAAGAUAACAAAGUCGCAAAAAUACGCUCUUAUCAAAAUAGUUGCAAAAUAAAUUCUUUAUUUCUUUAGAGAAUGGUGAAUUUUAACAGGGGCCUAAUUGAAUCCGAAAUAGAUUGCCUACAUAUCUCUGGGAAUGAGAAUUAGAUCAUUGGUGCAGUUCAAGAAAGAUGAUACAAUGUAAGAAAUUGUCAUUAGGGAUCAUCUUUGAUGAGUAGCCCAUGGUAAGGCUAUCAAAAGAUGGGUUCUCUAGAUGCUUAUGCGGCAUUAAUCUUUUUUGUGGUUAAGUCCGGAUAGGACGGCAUACAUAUCUUCUCACGUCACUGAAAAAUCAAUUUGGGGAUUUGCUUUUCAGUCGAUCAGACUGUUCUUAAGGACAAUCCAUCUUAGGGUUGUCAGCUUCUUCCUUUUUUCCUAGACUUACAAGUUUUUCCUCCAUAAAUGCAAUUGAUGUGGAAGGUAGGCUUCUUUGCCGGCCGUGUUGUUGUCCUUGUCAUCUGUGAGUUCAUACAUGUCGGACUUUUCUUUUUAUUUUCCUUCAGUGAGUUUUUCUUCCCUUGCCUUACUCCUCACAAAUUUCCAGCAGUGUCCCCGAUCGAUGAGUCCCUCGAUGUACUCCCUUAGUGAUCAACAACUUUGCGUAUGACAUGUGCUUUGAUGAAAAGAGCAGUACUCAUUUGGAUUUUUCUUAGGCAAGUGCUUAAGAAGGGGCUUUGAACUCUUGAGGUAGGGCUUAUGCUUGAUGCCAUGAAAGAUGAUGUUGAUGGUCCAGUUCAGGUUCGUAAACUGCAUCGGUCUUGGAAAACCUGGCUUAUCUUUUUGAAGGAAAAAUUUUGUCCUAGCUAAGAACAAGUAUGAACAUUUGAAUACUCAUGCAAGCUAUUAACACUUUAAAGUAGGCAUGCAUUAAAAAACAAUUCAUAAAACCCAUGACUUUCAAAGCCUAGUAUAUGGUGAACCAAAAUAAAUUCUUUAACAACAUUAAAGAUAAGUAAAGAUUUAGAGUUUCUUUACCCUUGGAGCUCAUCCUUGUUUACACAAGGGAUUCACCCAAGUGGAGGGCCUUCAAGUCACCUCCAAGCUCCUUGGAUCCUCCUUGUGUUUUCCUCCCUUUAGUGCUCAUUUGAAGAUUUGAGGAAAUGAGGAUAUGUUCUCCAAAACACCAAAAGUUUGAUGUCUCUAUGUCUCUUCACCAAGGAUGUAUCUUGUGAAGAUGAUAUGGAUGACUUAGGGAAGAAGAGAUUGCUAGAUGUCCCUCCCCUUAGUGGCCGGCCUCUUGGAAGAAAAAGGAGAGAAAAUGUUUCACCCAAUUUCAACAAGAAAACCCUUUUUGAAAAUAAAGCUAUAAAGUUGAAUUUAUACUUCAUUACAAGUGAGUGGCAAACUUGUAAUUAAUCCAAGUUUGCCAUAUUCACCCUAAUGGCCGGCCUUCCUUUGUUAUUGGGCUAAUUUGCCCAUUUUGUUUUAGUUGUCAUACAACUUAAACAUAAUGGGCCUUGUGGACCAAAACGCUUUUGGGCCCCGAAACCCAAAACCAACAUAUAAGCCCAAUACGAACAUUUCGUAUAAUUAAUUAACUAUUUAAUUAAUCUUGACCAUUCUUCAAUUAAACCAUUUAAUUGCUUAUCCAUUUCAUUUGAUUUCUUCACAUACAUCCUUACUUGGUGUACGAUCCAUUAGGUUCCAAUUAACGAGGCAGUGGGCGAUUGUUACUCUUAACGAUCGAUUGUGAAUUGAAACCACAUUUCAAUUCUCCCUUUAUUGAUUAGUGUUUGCUAACCAUUAAGGCUUCCACAAUCCAUGAGUGACGCCUAGCAGCAUAUCAUGGUUACCCAAGCUAAGUAGAAUUGGUUGGAGAACCUAUCCAGUUACAACUAUAAUGCAAUACGGUCAUUCUCUAAUACAAUACUCUUAAUCACAUUGUUUAAGUGAUAGUUUGUUUCAUGUCUACUAUCCAAUGUGAUACUUUCCUAUAUGAUUCCCUUGAAUAUGAUUUGGAACAAACUUCCUAAGUCAUAUUCAUUUGCUUUGGCCAAAGACUUUAGAAUCAUAUCUUAGAGUAUUCUCCUUCCACCAUGGAAGGUUAGAGAUCCCUUGUUGUGCAUUCAUAUGCCUACAUGACUAGAUAGCUUGACCCCAACAAUGCCGUGGACACUCCGAGGGAAUGCCGUUGACAUGAUUAAAGAUCAAGGACCUAACCAUUAGACAUCUAUGAUGCCUCAGGUCAAAGGACUACUUUGCAUAUUGCAACUUUAGAGUUCAUACAUGACAUGUAUGUUCGAACUCUCUUUUGAUCGUAGUUCAGUGUACUCAAUUACUCUUUCGAGCACCUAUGUGUUUGUCUUAGUGUCCAACACCAAAUGACUUGAGACUAGUCAUACUCACGCUUGAGUCAACAUAACACAUACUAACCUUAGCGGAUUGUCAAUGCCCAAUUGGCAAUCCUAUGGCUAGGAACGUUUUAGGAAUGAACAUAAGAGAAUGGUCUCGAUAAUCUAACUCACUUAGAUCACUUGUCUCUUAGAUCAAAUACAUCCCUUGGAUUCCCUUAUUGCUUAAACACAUGAUACAAUAAAUAGUGAUUAACAAUAAGCUUUGCCCUCCAUUAAACAUAUAAAAGUUUAAUACAUUAAGUAUUCCAAAAAGCUAUUACAUCAAAUGAGUGGCUUUGUGGGCAUACUUCCAACACUUUUCUCCCUCUUCUAUCAUUCUGAUGAGAAAAUGAGGGUAGAGUGUUGUGGUAUUUUCUCUUCCUCGAGCUUGCUGCCUCGAUCUUGCUCGAGGGCCUUUCUUCUGGUUAUGUCAUCCUAAUCAGUGAGAUUGUCCGCCAUGUAAAUGUUGGAAAUGUGCCCUAAAACCAAUCAUAUGAUGAUACUUUACGGACAUUUCACAUGUUAAACUAAUCUAGUUUAAUAUCAAGGGCAAACAUUAUUGUUUGAGCCAUCUCAUAUAAAUGUUAUAUGCUUAAACGAUAAGUCCAAGGAAUAUGUGAUUGGGAGAAUGCGAUCUAAAGAAGUUAGAUUCAUGAGACCAUUCUUUCGUAGACACAUCCUAAACGUUCCUGAUCAUAGGAUUGCCAAUUGGGCAUUGACAGUCCGUUAAGAUCAGUACGUGCUGUGUCUUCUCUCAGGGAGAGUGACUAGUCUCGAGUCAUUGGUGUGUGUGACAUCAAGACAAGUACGUAGGUGCUCAAUAGAGAAUGAGUUCACUGAACACAAUCAACGAAGAGUUCUCAUAUUCAUGUCACAUGAGAACUCAUGGUUGGGAUAAUGCAAUGUAGUCCUUUGACCUGAGGCAUCAUAGUUGUCUUGUGGUUAAGUCCUUGAUCUUUGAUUAUGUCAAAGUCACUCCAAAAGGAGGGUGUCCACGACAUAGUUGGGGUUAAGCCACUUAGCUAUGGAGGCAAGUGAAUGCUGAUAGGAGCAUAUUUAUGCGCCUUAGUUUAGCUUGUUCUUGUGUAUUUAUAGUGUUUUUCCUUAGUAAAGUAGUCUUUUAAGCUAGUUUCUUGUGUUCUUAGGUUUUAAAGGCAUAUUACAUAAAAAGAAGCAAUUUGGAGCCUUUUGGAGCAAAAUGGAGCUUGGAUAGGAUAUCACAUAUUUGGAGCCAAGGGUUUGGACGAAAAUGAAGAUUUGAAGAUGAUGAUUCCUACUUGAGCAAGGAUUCCUAGUUGAAGAUGGAUUCCUGAUGUGAAAAUUAUGUUGACACACAAAUUAACCCUCUUUUUAUCAAUUGUAGUGAUAGGAGCAUAUUUAUGCGCCUUAGUUAGCUAGUUCUUAUGCAUCUUUGUUAUGUUUUCUUCGUUAAAGUAGUCUUUUAAGCUACUUUCAUGUGUUUUCAGGUUUAAAGGACAUAUUACAUGAAAUGAUGCAAGUUGGAGCUUUUGGAGCAAAAUGUGAGCUUGGAUUGAAAAGGACAUGCUUGGAACACAAGGUUGGGAUGGAAUUGAAGAGUUGAAGAUUUGAGGUUUCCUACUUGAAGUAGGAAAGCUAAGCCUAAAAGUUUCCAUUUUGGGUUGAUCUUUCCUAAAUCGGAAUCGGCAACCAAAGUUUCUAAAGUUGGAAGUUUCUAUUCUUGGAGGUUUCCAUUUUUGUGAGUUUCUAUUCUCGGCUUUGGGCUUUUGGAUGACCCAUCCUUACUUCUUGGACCUAUGCCGCACCUUAAACCUAACCCUAGUCCACUUAAUCAGCCGCACCUAGGCCUUGUUCACAUGCAAAAAUCUGAUUAUUUACCCUAAGCCCAAUGCCGCACCUUUCCAUCCUAGAAGCCCUAUUUUACAAACCUUAACCCUAGCCCAUUGUUUCAAUCUGAUUUCAUUAGGGUUUUAAGUGCAUAUAUAUUUAUUUUCUACACCUAGCCGCAUCACUCUCCCUCUCCAAAAAUCAGAAAUCGCCUAAACCCUAUUCCCACACCUUGCCGCAGCCUUCAUCCAUUCCAGCCACAACCAUACACCUUGCCGCAACCAUCCCUCUACUCCAGCCACCAUUCUCCAUCUCCAUACACCAUUCAUACCCCUUGCCGCACCACCAUAUCAUCCUAACUCCAUUCCUAAUCCAAAACCACAUCCAAAAAUCCCUUUAACCAUCUCUGCCGCAGCAAGGAGAAGAAGAAGAGGAGCUUGACGUGCAGAAAUUCAAAGUGGAAUUCUUGAGCGUUUUAGGUGUAAUCUUUCUUAUGUCUUCGAUGUUUCAAUUCAAUAAACUUUAUGUUGUGAGUAUGAGGAACUAAACCCCCUUAGUUGGGGGGUAAUUCGAAACCAUGUACAUGCUUGCAAUAUGAUUUGAUUAUAUUCAGUUGUUAUUUCAUAAGUUGUGGAUUCAAUUCGUUCAUCUAUUUGAUUGAUAACUUAUUUGUGUAUGUUGAUUGAGAGUGCACGCUUAGUUUUCAUGCAUGAAUAUGAUGCUAGAUUAUGAGGGAGUUUCACCUAAUAGUUACAAUCUUAUAAUCACAAGUAGUGAAGAUCGCUUGAAAACGAUCGCGUUGAAUGAAUUCUUAGCAUAAAUUUCAUGCAAUUCAUAGUAACGAAUGCUUCGUCAAUGCUUAUGUUUUUCAUAGAACGUAAUGAUUCUUGCUUGUUUCUCUAUUAUGCAAUUCAUGUAGGGAACUUGUAGGGAAUGUUUUGGGUUGUCGUAUGCAAUCAUCCAACUUGAUAACUUAUGGAAAAACUGAGGGUUAAUUAGUGCAAUUCACGGUUAAUCUGGGGCGUUGAGUAUUUAUAAUUUAUUGGAAGAACAACUGAAAAUCGUUUCGUUUGCAAGUGUGACAUGUGUGGAGAAGAACCUCCUAACUAGCCUUUUAACCAUCUAUUUCACCAAAAUCGUUUUUGCAAUCUGUUUUAGUUAAAGUUUCUGUUUUUGUGUUAAAUUUUCGUCCAAAACAAACCCCCCUUAUUUUAGAGUCUUAGAUUAGUUAGAAAGUGUUUUGAUUUGUGUUUCUAAGUGUUUUGAUUCAAGUUUUCAUCCAAUUUCGUCCAAAUUAGUGUAGGUGCUCAAAACUGCCCAGAAAGUGGUUUUUAGGCAGUUUUGAGUCUUCUAGUUGCUGUUUUGAGUUCUAGGGUUGUUUAAGUGUUUUAAACUUUAGUUUUGCAUUCUUUGAGUCUAGUUUAGUGUUUUAAACUUUGUUUUUGAGUUUUUAAGUCAGUUUCCAAGUGUUUAGCAAUCCCUCCUAAUCCCCGGUCUAGAACGAUCCCUACUUACAUCUUUACUACAAUUUGACAAAAAGAGGGUUUAAUUUGAGUGCUAGUUAAUUUUCACAUCAUGUAGCAAAGUAUGUAAGUAGGGAUCGUUCUAAACCGGGGAUUAGGAGGGAUUGCAAAAUCACUUGAAAACUGACUCAAAUACGUAAAACAAGUUUAAAACACUAAACUAGACUCAAAGAAUGCAAAACUAAAUUUUAAAACACCAAAACAAAUCAAAAGACUCAAAACAGCCCAGAAACACUCAAAACUACCUUAAAACCACAAUCUGGGCAGUUUUGAACACUAGACACAAACUUGAACGAAAAUUGGUUUUCACUUGACCUAAGACACUUAAAAACACAAACUAAAGUGAUUUCUAACUAUUAUGACUCAACCAAGAAAAGGGGGAUUGAUUUUGGACGAAUUUAACUUUUAAAACAAGAACUUUGAAAACAAACUUUAAUGAAAACGAUUUUGAUGAAAUAGAAUGGGGAAAGGCUAGUUAGAGGGUUCCUUCUCCACACAUGAAACAUAUGCAUACGACUCGAUUUCCAAUUACUCUUUCAAUAAACCAUGAAUGACAAUGCCCCAAAUUAACUAGAUUAACCAAUUAAUUCUCAGAUUUCCCUAGAUUCAUUGAAUUGAAUGGGAUACGCAUUACAACCAAAUUAUUCUUAUCAAGGACCCUAACUAUGGAAUACGCAUGAUAGAGACACAUAUCAAAGAUCAUUAAGUUCAAUGGAAAUCAUAAGCAUUGACGAGGCAUUCAUAACUAUGGGAUACGCAUGUUACUCUUGCCAAGGAUUUACUUAACACAAUCGUGACUAGCGACUUUUACUACUUAUGAAUAUAAGUUAAUAACGAUUAGGUGAAAUUCCCUUAUACUCUAGCAUCAAAUUCAUGCAUGCGAACUAAGUAUGCAUCCUUAAUUAACAUACAUAAACAUGUUAUCAAUCAAAUAGAUAAGUAAACCACAUUCACGAUUUAUGAAAUCAUAAUUGGAAGAAAUCAAGUCAUAUAAAACAUAUGAUCAUGGCUUUGAAUUCCCCUCUAACUAUAAAGAAAUUAGUUCCUCAUGUUCGCAAAUAAACAAAGAUAAAUAAAUUUAAACAUUAAAACAAAGUUAGGAAACACCUAGAAACGCUCCGACAAUCCAACGUCUUGAAUAACAUGCACGGCUCCAAGUUGUCUUCCUUCUUCUUCUUGCAAACUCACGGCACAAUGAGGUAUGAUUGGUGAAUGGUGUAGUGAAAAUCUGGUAGAGGAUGGUGAAUGAAAGGGUGCGGCAAGGCCUUGUAUUUAUAGGCUGAAAUCCCCUCUCCUAGGUAGCCAAGGACAAGGUUUUAAAGGCCUAAUCUGCAUAGGAUAAUAACAUACAAUCCUAUAAGGAAAACAAGUCAAAAACCCAAAGGGAUUGGGAGAUAAGGUGCGGCACAAAGAUAGGGAAUGAUAAGGCUUCUAGAAAUCUGAAAUUCCAAGGGAAAUAAGGUAUAGGGUGCGGCACUUAUCUAGGAAGGGAUAAGGCUUCUAGAAAUCCCAUUUUAAGCAUCCUAAUCUAAUUAGAAACCCUCCUAAGUGGCUGAAAUGUGGAUAGUUUAGGAUAAGGAUAAGAUAGGAUAGGAUAAGGUUUGAUUGGAUAAGAUAAGCUAAGAUAAGGUUAUGGAUGAGGUUUUGGAUAAGAUCCUUCUCUUGAGCUGGUUCUUUGACUUUACUCUUCUUCUUCACAUAGGAAACCUUGCUUGAGUAGGAAACUUCAUUUGUCUAGGAAUCCAUCUUCAAUUAGGACUCCUACAUUGAUUAGGAAUCCUUCUUCAUUUAGGAAUCCUUCAUUCAAGCCAUUUCCUUCUUCAACUAGGAAACUUUGUAUCUUCAAUUCUUCAACUUUGAAACGCCUUCCUAGCUUCAUCAAUUCCUCAAAUUCGUCCAUCCCUUGUGCUUCAUGUGCAUGAACUCCAUUUUAGCCCAAUUUUGCUCCAAAAUGCAUCCUUUUGCUCACUUUGUCUCUAAAACAUGAAAACACAUGAAAAUAGCUUAAAAGACUAACUUAACUAAGAAAACACAACAUAAAUGCAUAAGAACUAGCUAACUAAGGCGCAUAAAUAUGCUCCUAUCAAAUUCCCCCACACUUAGCUUUUGCUAGUCCUCGAGCAAAACAAAGAAACAAAACAUAACCUAAACCUUCCAACGUUUGCCUCAGGGAUUCCCAAUGCACAUGACAUAUUAAAAAUCAUCAUUCCCAUAGAUUUUAGUCAUCUUCACAGUUAAGCACAUACUUAAUCGUAGUCACCACGUACUAGUUCACAUAUAACCAUUUAAAACAUGAUUUUGAAUGUAGUAACAUGCCAUAGAGAAUUUGCUCAAGUCCUUACUAGAUAUGCACUCAAUUUUCGCACAGAUUUUCUAACUCCACACCCUAUACUAGUUAUAUGUGAGAAGAUUGAUGUAAAUAUGAAAACGAACGCUCACAUAUAUGUAUAACAAAGAAAGCAUUUUCGGGAGUUAAUAAGCAUUUUAGAUAUGAUCUCAUGAAUGGAAUGCUACUACUUAGAUGCGAGAACCAGGGAUAUCAUAUGCUCAUACCAAUUCCAAACUCCACAUAUUGAAACACAUAACAAUCAAGAUGGAAGCAAAGGGUUGUAACGGGGCUAAGGUAUUGGCUAACAAAGAAAGGUAAGGAUAAACAAACAUUCUUAAAGAAUAAUAAGCAAAGUAAUGAAAUUGACACUUAGAAUUCACUUUUGCAUGCAAAAAUCGAUUUUGAAACACAAGGGGAAGACUCAUGCAACACUUAGGGCCAAAUUCAAGCUUUUUGGACCCUUUCUUCAACAACCAACACUUAAGAGCUCAAUUUCACAUCUUUUUCAACUCUUUUUCAUACUUUUCACAUUUUUUUUUCAUUUUUUUCUUUUUCUACGAAUUUUGCUCUUUUCUUUUUCUAACCCGUGCCCUUCUACUUCUUUUGGCACACAAAAUUUUCCUUCCCCCACACUUAGACUUGCACAACAUUGAUCAAAAGGAAUUCCCUCUAAGUCAUGCUUUAUUAUCCUUUAAGAACAAGGGUAUGGAUAGUCCUAAUCUAGGCUAGGUAAGGAUAAUGUGGCUAACAACAAAAAUAGGCUAAAUAAGGCUCAAAGGGGCUGAUCCUACAAAAACAAAUGCAUGGGUUGAAGGCUUUUUGGCUCUGGUGAUAACUACUAAACAACUUCAUCUUGUUAGUUAUGCUAAUCAAUUUUUAUGCUUUGAAUGAAAUAGGUAUGAGUUCUAAUAUUUGGAUCUAUAAUGAUGACACGCCUUCUAAGUAGUAACCAAGCAAAGAAUGAUGAGAUCAUGCAACGACUUUAGAAAACAACAAAUUCACAGAUUAUUAACUCUCCAAAGAAUGUUUAGGCUCAAGUCUCACAGGGUUGUAGCGUUAGUUUGAGUUACUUCCUUCAAGCAUGUUACAAAAACUGAUUUUUUUCUUUGUGAUUAUAUGUGAAUUCGUAAACAACAACGAUGACCAAGCAUAAACCAAAGAGUAAAUCAAACAUCCAUCCAUGUUUAUAACUCUCUUUAACAGUCAUGCAAUUAAAAACCGAAUCCUCAUCAUUGUGUUGGAAGAUACUCUAAGACACAAACACAAAAACAACUUUAAAACGACUCUUUUUGGGUUUUUUCAAAACUUUUUCUAUUUUUUUCUUGAAUUUUCGGAUUUUCUGGUAAAGCCACACAAAAACACAUCAAAACAUUCUAAAAACACUUAAAAACAAUGAAAAACAACCUUUGAAAUGUUAGGUGGUAAAAUCCUACGAAUUUUGACAUAAAAACACUUUGUUUACCCCCCCCACACUUAAACCAAACAUUGUCCUCAAUGUUUCAAACAUAGACUCACACAAAAACAAGCAAAUAACACAACUAGCAAACAUGACAAAUAUGGCAAAGUAAAAGCAAUAAAGAGUAGGGUGUAGAAACGCAAACAUCAAAAAUUUCAACAUUAAAUAUGGGAUUUUGCGGCAUUUGGUCCUUUGGUCCUAUAUUUCCAGUUCGUUGACAACGAUCACAUGCAAUGCAAAAUGUUCUAGCAUCCUUAAAAAUAGUAGGCCAAUAAAAACCACAUUCAAGUACUUUACGUGCAGUCCUUUGAGUGCCAAAGUGACCUCCGCAUGCAUAAGUGUGACAAAAGUUUAAAAUAGAUUGAAUUUCAGAAUCAUGCACACACCUACGAAUGAUUUGAUCAGAGCAAUAUUUCCAUAAAUAAGGAUCAUCCCACACAUAAUUUCGUGCAUCAUACUUAAGUUUAUCACGUUGGUUUUUAUUGAACUCACUUGGAAUGACUUUAGAUGCUAAAUAAUUAACUAAAAUCCGCAUACCAUGGCAUACUAACCUCAAUGGACAUCAAUUGUUCAUCCGGGAAUGUCUCUGGAAUAGGCACGACGUCUUCUUCAUGCACCAAACGGCUCAAGUGAUCAGCCACAACGUUCUCACUUCCUUUCUUGUCUCGGAUUUCGAUCGAACUCUUGGAGAAGAAGCAUCCAUCGAAUAAGCCUUGGUUUAGCCUCCUUCUUCGUGAGCAAGUACUUCAACGCUGCAUGAUCAGUGUAAAUGAUUACCUUAGUACCAAGUAAAUAAGAACGAAACUUAUCUAAAGCAAAAACAACGGCAAGAAGUUCUUUUUCCGUGGUGGAAUAGUUCAAUUGAGCAUUGUUCAAGGUCCGAGAGGCAUAAUAUAUGACGUGUGGCUGUUUGUCCUUCCUUUGUCCCAAAACAGCGCCUAGAGCAUAAUCGGAUGCAUCGCACAUAAGCUCGAAUGGAAUGCUCCAAUCUGGUGGCCGAAUGAUGGGGGCCGAAGUUAGCAUCUCUUUGAGGUGUUUGAGCGCCUUUUCACACUCCUCGUUGAAAUCGAAGGUCACAUCCUUUUGGAGAAGUCGGCAUAGGGGUGUGGAAAUCUUUGAAAAUUCCUUGAUGAAUCGCCUAUAAAAUCCUGCAUGGCCCAGAAAAGAACGAACCUCUCUAACCGAAGUUGGAGAGGGUAAGUAACAUACAAGAUCUAUUUUCGAUUUAUCAACCUCAAUUCCCCUUUCAGAAACGAUAUGCCCUAAAACGAUGCCUUGUU
rnacentral:lncRNA from 1 species